rnacentral:rRNA from 1 species
GACGAACGCUGGCGGCGUGCUUAACACAUGCAAGUCGAACGGAAAGGCCCUGCUUUUGUGGGGUGCUCGAGUGGCGAACGGGUGAGUAACACGUGAGUAACUUGCCCUUGACUUUGGGAUAACUUCAGGAAACUGGGGCUAAUACCGGAUAGGAGCUCCUGCUGCAUGGUGGGGGUUGGAAAGUUUCGGCGGUUGGGGAUGGACUCGCGGCUUAUCAGCUUGUUGGUGGGGUAGUGGCUUACCAAGGCUUUGACGGGUAGCCGGCCUGAGAGGGUGACCGGCCACAUUGGGACUGAGAUACGGCCCAGACUCCUACGGGAGGCAGCAGGGGGGAAUAUUGCACAAUGGGCGGAAGCCUGAUGCAGCAACGCCGCGUGCGGGAUGACGGCCUUCGGGUUGUAAACCGCUUUCGCCUGUGACGAAGCGUGAGUGACGGUAAUGGGUAGAGGAGCACCGGCUAAAUACGUG